rnacentral:rRNA from 1 species
UACGUAGGUGGCGAGCGUUGUCCGGAUUUACUGGGCGUAAAGAGCGCGCAGGCGGUCGUUCAAGUCGCGUGUGAAAGCCCCCGGCUCAACUGGGGAGGGUCACGCGAUACUGAUCGACUCGAAGGCAGGAGAGGGAAGUGGAAUUCCCGGUGUAGUGGUGAAAUGCGUAGAUAUCGGGAGGAACACCUGUGGCGAAGGCGGCAUCCUGGACCGAUACUGACGCUGAGGAGCGAAAGCCAGGGGAGCAAACGGG